GAAAUGACAGAUAUUAAUGUGUUUACAAAAAACCAUUAUUUUCAUUAAUCAUAAAGCUGGGAGCACAUUUUAGUUGGCCUAACUACUGUAUCUAUACACUGUGUAAAAGUAAUAACCAAAACGAUGAUCCAUUGAUAGUGUAAAAACGUAGAUCAAUGUAGACACCGAAACUUAUGUUUUUGAAUUAUCGUAGCUAAUCAAUUCUAAGAACUAACAUGAUAUUAGCGUUUGAUUUACUGUAAAUUUUUAAAUGUCUACAUCAAAAUCUUCGCUCUCUGCUUGACAUUUGUCUGUCAGCAUAAGAAUCAAUUUCUAGUAUUGUUCACUCUAGAAUAAAGACCUGUAUGGAAUCAACCCUAAGUUAUGUCUUCCCUUCGACGAAGGGGCAUUAUGUUUUAGAAGUGUUUCUUCUGCUUCAGUUUACAUUCAACCUUGUCCGGGCUAACACUUUUUGUUAUCUUUUGAUAUUGGCCUAUAAUAUUUGGCAUGAAGGUGUAUAACCAUAAGAUGCUGUGUCGCAUAUCAUCAUUAUAACAAUACUUAGUAAGAAGAUGUGGUAUAAUUGCCAAAUGAGACAAUUAUCCAGAAGAGACCAAAUGAAGUAGAUGCAAGCAACUAUAGGUCAUCGCAUGGUUUCCACGAUGAACAAAACCUAUUCUGUAUAGAAAGCUUAGAAAGGUCCCAACAUGACAAACUUUAAACAAUUCAAACGAGAUAACCUACGGUCUGAUUUAUGUACUAAAUAUAAACAAAAUAACCAAUAUGAUAGACAGCAACCAACGACAGCAACUAAAAUACAGGCGACAAAAGUACAAACUGAAAAAUCAGUUGAAAAAGGUUAAACUCGUCAGGUCGACACAUGACCUUCAUGUAAAAUUGACCUUUUACAUCAAGGUCAAAAUAUGUGAUUUUUUUGGACAUUUUCUUGACCAAGACAUAACUUUCUUAUCAUUUGACAAAGGCUUUUGAUAUUUAGCAUAAAAGUGCAGCUGUUCAUAUUAAUUGAAUCAAUGUACAAUAUAAACUUUGCACAUGCAAAUCAAUUAUUUUGAAGCCCCAAAAAAAGAAGAAUUUUGUAAUACGUCAUAAGCGCCAUCCUACUCUAUUGUAUAUAUCAUAUAAGAGGUACGCAAAUGUAAACAACUCAACUGUGAGUAGGUGUUAGCCAUUAAUAUAGGAAGUUAUCAAUUCAUUUGUAACUAUCAGCACUUAAUAGUGGAUUGGAGAUCUUCUAGAAUGUAGAAGAAUGGUGAAAUAAGAUUGUUAUUUUUAAGGAGUUUCGACAAUUAUUACAAAACUAAUCGAAACACUUAUAUAGAAAUCAAGUUAAAAUUUCCGGACAAUAUAUAUAAAUUAUUUGACGGCGAAGUCCCCAUAGUAAAUUUAAGUUCAUAAUGAAGAUGAUUGAAAUUGUAUUGUUACUUUUGGUAUCAAACACACUUGCAAAUGCCGUCAGUGACAGGGUCGACGCACCUUUACUUGAUAACAACAAUGCGCCACUAGUUGCCACCCUCGAUUUGUCGAAUGCCAAUAAGCGUAUCAAAGAAUAUGUUAGUGAAACAAUGGAGACAAAGAUGGCAGAUCUGGUGAAGAUGAAAUUAGAAGAGGUUCUUACAACAUUGCAUUUAGAGGAAGAUGUAAAGCGUUACAUUGAUAACGUUAAAAAGAAUCUGACCGUCAACAUAACUGAUGAUAUAAAACGAAUUUCUGAUGCAAAGAUUUUAGAGAAAGAACCACGUCGAAAGGAUGACCGUGCAUUGUCUAUAUGCCUUGGAAUCACGGGGAGCAGUAUCGGCCAAAUCAAAUCUGUCAGACGGAAUUGUAGCAGCAAGACAACGUGUGAAAGCAUCUGCAAGGGAGUAGAUAACAGUUUGAAUUGUUUCAACGCUCUGCAUUUAUAUGGCUACCGUUCAUAUUCUACUGCACAUUUGUAUGGAUACGGUGGAUGUUCUGCCACAUAUUGUGGUCCAAACUACUGCUGCUGCCACAAUUAAUAUCCAGAUAUGUCAGUUGGAAUUAUAUGUAUUAAAAUGUAUUCAAGAUAUUUGAACACAAACUGUUGUUAUAUCAUUAUAUUGAUAUGAACUUUUAAUGUUAACAGAUGUAAAUUUAGAAGUUUCAGGGUAUUCGAAUCAGUUAACUUGAAAUACACUUCCUUUUUUUUUUACUUAAAAUGCAAAGAAGGAAAAUAUAAAGAUUGCAAAAAAAAGCGAAGAAAAUCACGAUUUGCAAGUAAUUUUUUAACAGUGACCUCAAAGACUGUACAUAUGUGCUUUGUUGUUUUGUGAAAUUAUUUCAUAGUAGAAGAUGCUUAUGGUUUAUUAUCACUAUACAUUUUUAAGAACAAGCAAAUCAUCAACCGUAAAAAUAUUGCCCCAGUUUGUAACACGGUUUCAAAAAGAAGAUGUUUUUAUUCAAAGACGCAGACAUUUUCAAUUCCAAAUUGACAUAAAAUACAUAUCGGAAGCAGAUUAAAAAAAUUAGCUGAUAACUAUCAUUUCUUUUAGGGCUCGGUCAUUGACACCAAACUCUAUAUAUCACCGCAAUAGACUGCCUCUCCUAGACGUGAAUUAUUAUACAGAGAGAGGUUGAUGAAAAAUGACGCCGUUGUGUAACUUUUAUUGGGGAUUUGACCUAUAACAUCUGCAUUUGUUUGAAGAAAAUAUAAAUAUACAUGUAUUAGUUUACAACAUUUUGACCUUCAUCCUUCAACUGUUAUCCGGACUGAUCUUGCGAAUUGACUAGGAUUUUCAGGUUUUUUUUCUCAUUUAACUGGGAUCAUUUAACUCAUAAUAUUCAAUAACGAUUUAUAAACCCGCGAGAUACAUGCAUAUGGGAUUAUUAUGAAAUUUUCCAUAUUUCGGAUCAUGUUUAUGUUCUAUUGGCAUGCUGUCAAUUGUUGUAAUGACACAUAAUCCUGUAAGAAAUAAAUAUGGCAGGGGUAGAAUACCUUGAUCAUACUGCAGGUAA